CUCUUCGGGGAUGAUUAAACCGGCGCACGGGUGAGUAACACGUGAGUGACCUGCCUUUUAGACUGGAACAACUUACCGAAAGGUGAGCUAAUGCCGGAUGAGUUAUAUAAGUGCAUGUUUAUAUAGGAAAAGUUGGGGAGACCUGACGCUGAAAGAUGGACUCGCGUCCCAUUAGCUAGUUGGUAGGGUAAUGGCCUACCAAGGCGACGAUGGGUAGCCGGCCUGAGAGGGUGGCCGGCCACACUGGGACUGAGACACGGCCCAGACUCCUACGGGAGGCAGCAGUGGGGAAUUUUGCGCAAUGCUCGUAAGAGUGACGCAGCGACGCCGCGUGAAUGACGAAGGCCUUCGGGUCGUAAAGUUCUUUCGACAGGGAAGAAAAUGCCUAUAAGUAACUGUGUAUGUAUUGACGGUACCUGUAUAAGCAGCCCCGGCUAACUCCGUGCCAGCAGCCGCGGUAAUACGGAGGGGGCGAGCGUUGUUCGGAGUGACUGGGCGUAAAGAGCACGUAGGCGGUGUUGUAAGUCAUUAGUCAAAGACUAGAGCUCAACUUUAGUAAGGCUAGUGAUACUAUAAUACUAGAGUAUCAGAGAGGAUUGCAGAAUUCCUGGUGUAGCGGUGAAAUGCGUAGAUAUCAGGAGGAAUACCGUUAGCGAAGGCGGCAAUCUGGCUGGAAACUGACGCUGAGGUGCGAAAGCGUGGGUAGCAAACAGGAUUAGAUACCCUGGUAGUCCACGCUGUAAACGAUGGAUGCUAGGUGUUGGGCUUUUAAGUUCAGUGCCGCAGCAAACGCGAUAAGCAUCCCGCCUGGGGAG
rnacentral:rRNA from 1 species